GCUCAGUUGGUUAAGGGUCUGACUCUUGAUUUUAGCUCAGGUCAUGAUCUUUCAUUCGUGAGAUCAAGCCCCACAUUGGGCU
rnacentral:tRNA from 1 species